rnacentral:misc_RNA from 1 species
GCGGAGGGAUCAUUACAGAGUUGAAAAACUCCCAAAACCACUGUGAACCAUACCUGUCCGCGUUGCUUCGGCGGGCAGCUCCGGGGAGGAGCUGCAGCCCCCCUCCGGGGGGGCGCCCGCCGGAAGCCCUUAUAAACUAUUCUGUAAACUACCUGAAACUCUGAGUCUCUAGCAUGUAAAUGCGAUAUAAAACUUUCAACAACGGAUCUCUUGGCUCUAGCAUCGAUGAAGAACGCAGCGAAAUGCGAUAAGUAAUGCGAAUUGCAGAAUUCAGUGAAUCAUCGAAUCUUUGAACGCACAUUGCGCCCGCCAGCACUCUGGCGGGCAUGCCUGUUCGAGCGUCAUUUCAACCCUCAAGCACUGCUUGGUGUUGGGGCGCCACGGGGCCUCGGCGCCGUGGGCCCUGAAAGUCAGUGGCGGACCUGCUGUGUGUCCGGGCGUAGUAGCAAUAUGUCGCCCGUGGGUGCCCAGCAGGCUCCGGCCGUAAAAAAAAAAAAGAAAGAGCAAUCUCACCAGAACGUUGACCUCGGAUCAGGUAGGAAUACCCGCUGAACUUAAGNNNNNNAAUAAGCGGAGGAAAAGAAACCAACAGGGAUUGCCCCAGUAACGGCGAGUGAAGCGGCAAUAGCUCGAAUUUGAAAUCUGGCUUCGGCCCGAGUUGUAAUCUGUAGAGGACGCUUUUGGCGCGGUGCCUUCCGAGUUCCCUGGAACGGGACGCCACAGAGGGUGAGAGCCCCGUAUGGUCGGAUACCAAGCCUCUGUAAAGCUCCUUCGACGAGUCGAGUAGCUUGGGAAUGCUGCUCUAAGUGGGAGGUAAACUUCUUCUAAAGCUAAAUACCGGCUAGAGACCGAUAGCGCACAAGUAGAGUGAUCGAAAGAUGAAAAGCACUUUGAAAAGAGGGUUAAACAGUACGUGAAAUUGUUGAAAGGGAAGCGCUUGUGACCAGACUUGCGCCGGGCUGAUCAUCCAGCGGUCUCCGCUGGUGCACUCGGCCCGGCUCAGGCCAGCGUCGGUUGCCGCGGGGGGAUAAAAGCCUAGGGAAUGUAGCUCCCCCCGGGGAGUGUUAUAGCCCUCCGCAGAAUAUCCCCGCGGCGACCGAGGUCCGCGCCCUGCAAGGACGCUGGCGUAAUGGUCAUCAGCGACCCGUCUUGAA